GAGUGGACUCCUACGGGAGGCAGCAGUGAGGAAUAUUGGUCAAUGGACGGAAGUCUGAACCAGCCAAGUAGCGUGCAGGAUGACGGCCCUAUGGGUUGUAAACUGCUUUUGUAUGGGGAUAAAGUUAGGGACGUGUCCCUAUUUGCAGGUACCAUACGAAUAAGGACCGGCUAAUUCCGUGCCAGCAGCCGCGGUAAUACGGAAGGUCCAGGCGUUAUCCGGAUUUAUUGGGUUUAAAGGGAGCGUAGGCUGGAGAUUAAGUGUGUUGUGAAAUGUAGACGCUCAACGUCUGAAUUGCAGCGCAUACUGGUUUCCUUGAGUACGCACAACGUUGGCGGAAUUCGUCGUGUAGCGGUGAAAUGCUUAGAUAUGACGAAGAACUCCGAUUGCGAAGGCAGCUGACGGGAGCGCAACUGACGCUUAAGCUCGAAGGUGCGGGUAUCAAACAGGAUUAGAUACCCUUGUAGUCCU
rnacentral:rRNA from 1 species